GACGAACGCUGGCGGCGUGCCUAAUACAUGCAAGUCGAACGCACAGUUUAUACCGUAGCUUGCUACACCAUAGACUGUGAGUUGCGAACGGGUGAGUAACGCGUAGGUAACCUGCCUGGUAGCGGGGGAUAACUAUUGGAAACGAUAGCUAAUACCGCAUAAUAUUGAUUAUUGCAUGAUAAUUGAUUGAAAGAUGCUAUUGCAUCACUACCAGAUGGACCUGCGUUGUAUUAGCUAGUAGGUGAGGUAACGGCUCACCUAGGCGACGAUACAUAGCCGAGCUGGGAGGGUGGUCGGCCACACUGGGAAUGAGACACGGCCCAGAAGCCUAAGGGAAGGAGCAGGAGGGAAUCUUCGGAAAUGGACGAAAGUCUGACCGAGCAACGCCGCGGGAGUGAAGAAGGGUUUCGGAUCGUAAAGCUCUGUUGUAAGAGAAGAACGGGUGUGAGAGUGGAAAGUUCACACUGUGACGGUAUCUUACCAGAAAGGGACGGCUAACUACGUG
rnacentral:rRNA from 1 species